UACGGAGGGUGCGAGCGUUGUCCGGAAUCACUGGGCGUAAAGGGCGCGUAGGCGGCGCGGGCAGUCAACGGUGAAAGUUCGGGGCUCAACCCUGAAUCGGCCGUCGAUACUCCCGUGCUUGAGCACUGUAGAGGCAGAUGGAAUUCCGGGUGUAGCGGUGGAAUGCGUAGAGAUCCGGAAGAACACCGGUGGCGAAGGCGGUCUGCUGGGCAGUAGCUGACACUGAGGCGCGACAGCGUGGGGAGCAAACAGG
rnacentral:rRNA from 1 species